rnacentral:rRNA from 1 species
UACGUAGGUGGCGAGCGUUGUCCGGAAUUACUGGGUGUAAAGGGCGUGUAGGCGGAAAUUUAAGUCAGAUGUGAAAUUCCCGGGCUCAACUCGGGCGCUGCAUUUGAAACUGAGUUUCUUGAGUGAUGGAGAGGAAAGCGGAAUUCCUAGUGUAGCGGUGAAAUGCGUAGAUAUUAGGAGGAACACCAGUGGCGAAGGCGGCUUUCUGGACAUUAACUGACGCUGAGGCGCGAAAGCGUGGGGAGCAAACAGGAUUAGAUACCCUGGUAGUCCACGCGGUAAACGAUGAUUACUAGGUGUGGGAGGUAUCGACCCCUUCCGUGCCGGAGUUAACACAAUAAGUAAUCCACCUGGGGAGUACGGCCGCAAGGUUGAA